rnacentral:rRNA from 1 species
GACGAACGCUGGCGGCGUGCUUAACACAUGCAAGUCGAUCGGUCAAGCGCCUUCCUUUUUGGUGGGUGUGUAUGAGUGGCGAACGGGUUAGUAACACGUGAGUCACCUGCUCCCUCCUUCUGGAUAACCGCAUGAAAGUGCGGCUAAUACGGGAUAUUCUGAGUCUGUCGCAUCAUGGGUCUGGGAAAGAUUUUGUUUCGCUGGGGGAUGGGCUCGCGGCCUAUCAGCUUGUUGGUGGGGUGAUGGCCUACCAAGGCGAUGACGAGUAGCCGGCCUGAGAGGGUCGACGACAACGGAAGGGAGGAGAGGUGGAGCAGCCUACGAGAGGCGGCAGUAGGGGAGAAUAUGGAACGGUGGGAGCAAGGACGGUGCAGCGACGCGGCGUGGAGGAUGGAGGCCGGCGGGUUGAGAACCGCUUUCGGGAAAGAAGAAGGCUGGAAUCGUUUGUGGGUGGGUUGACGGUAGCUAGAUAAAAAGCGACGGCUAACUACGUG